UAGCUCAGUUGGUAGAGCAUGGUGCUUGCAACACUAGGGAUGUGGCUUCAAUUCCCAU
rnacentral:tRNA from 1 species